AUUGAACGCUGGCGGCAGGCCUAACACAUGCAAGUCGAGCGGAUGAAGGGAGCUUGCUCCUGGAUUCAGCGGCGGACGGGUGAGUAAUGCCUAGGAAUCUGCCUGGUAGUGGGGGAUAACGUCCGGAAACGGGCGCUAAUACCGCAUACGUCCUGAGGGAGAAAGUGGGGGAUCUUCGGACCUCACGCUAUCAGAUGAGCCUAGGUCGGAUUAGCUAGUUGGUGGGGUAAAGGCCUACCAAGGCGACGAUCCGUAACUGGUCUGAGAGGAUGAUCAGUCACACUGGAACUGAGACACGGUCCAGACUCCUACGGGAGGCAGCAGUGGGGAAUAUUGGACAAUGGGCGAAAGCCUGAUCCAGCCAUGCCGCGUGUGUGAAGAAGGUCUUCGGAUUGUAAAUCUCUUUAAGUUGGGAGGAAGGGCAGUAAGUUAAUACCUUGCUGUUUUGACGUUACCAACAGAAUAAGCACCGGCUAACUUCGUG
rnacentral:rRNA from 1 species